rnacentral:rRNA from 1 species
CCUACGGGUGGCAGCAGUCGAGAAUCAUUCACAAUGGGGGAAACCCUGAUGGUGCGACGCCGCGUGGGGGAAUGAAGGUCUUCGGAUUGUAAACCCCUGUCAUGUGGGAGCAAAUUACAAUGAUCGUACCACCAGAUGCAGAGACGGCUAACGCUGUGCCAGCAGCCGCGGUAAUACAGAGGUCUCAAGCGUUGUUCGGAAUCACUGGGCGUAAAGCGUGCGGAGGCUGUUUCGUAAGUCGUGUGUGAAAGGCGCGGGCUCAACCCGCGGACUGCACAUGAUACUGCGAGACUAGAGUAAUGGAGGGGGAAGCGGAAUUCGCGGUGUAGCAGUGAAAUGCGUAGAUAUCGAGAGGAACACUCGUGGCGAAGGCGGGUUCCUGGACAGUAACUGACGCUGAGGCACGAAGGCCAGGGGAGCGAAAGGGAUUAGAUACCCUUGUAGUC